rnacentral:rRNA from 1 species
ACAUGCCUACAUCAUAGCGUUAAUUCACUGAAUCCCAUUAGAACUCCACAGUCAAGCACGCUCAUGCUAGAGUAGUACUGGGAUGGGUGAUUGCUUGGGAAGUCGUAGUGUUUUACAUGCC